GCUUUAGCUCAUUGGCAGAGUAUCUGCUUUGCGUGCAGAAGGUCCCAGGUUCAGUCCCCCAGAAUCUCCA